rnacentral:pre_miRNA from 8 species
UCUGAGCGGGUGCAGAGCUUGGCUGAUUGGUGAACGUGCAUGGCUUGUGUUUUUGUUCACAGUGGCUAAGUUCUUCACCCGAA